rnacentral:rRNA from 1 species
CAGUCGCCACGGUAAUACGGAGGGUGCAAGCGUUAUCCGGAUUUAUUGGGUUUAAAGGGUCCGUAGGCGGAUCUGUAAGUCAGUGGUGAAAUCUCACAGCUUAACUGUGAAACUGCCAUUGAUACUGCAGGUCUUGAGUAAAUUUGAAGUGGCUGGAAUAAGUAGUGUAGCGGUGAAAUGCAUAGAUAUUACUUAGAACACCAAUUGCGAAGGCAGGUCACUAAGAUUUAACUGACGCUGAUGGACGAAAGCGUGGGGAGCGAACAGGAUUAGAUACCCCCGUAGUCCCUGUCCUUAUACC